AGAAGAGUAGCUAAGGAGUCACAAGAAAACAUGAGUUUCCCCAUCCUUUUACACACUGUGAAAUCUGUGGCUAUUCACUGUGUGGUGGCAACUUCCAUUUAAACCGCCCUCACUCACCUGUGUUACAGGUUUUCCUGUGCAUCUGAGAGCUAGAUUUCUAAACAGAGUUUACAGUAUAGCUAAAGGAAAUAACCUCGAAUUAUGCUAAAGUCCCAUCUGUGAAUGAACCGUCCUGGGAAUGCACUGAGCUCUGACAUGGAAGGAAGAGAGAAAAGCAUUUGCAGGGCAAAUUUAUAUUGCUUACAAGAAUUCAUGUCACAGUGGACUUACUUCUGUCU
rnacentral:lncRNA from 1 species